ACACACAGACCGACACGGAACUGGUGCCGUUCAAGCUGUCUCCAGAAAGUCGGGUCGAUGUUUAAGUACUGUGGAGGUAACAUUGCCUCAGAUAACGUUUAAACGAGUGAUUUUUUGGUCAGAGUCGUUACAGCUAUUCCAUAAUCUGUUUUCUUCAUCGACAUCUGAUUUCGAAACAUAUUAAGAAAAUGUCCUACUCCAUCUUAUGGAUGAUAAUUCUUAUGGAUUUACAGAUAUUUAUCCAUGCAGGAGUACCGGGAAUUAAAUUGAGAACAGUUGAUGUUGAAGGAGAGCACCAAAGUAAGUCAAGUUAAUUUUAUUGUUGUUCUAUAUAAUCUAAUUAUUUUUUACAUAUAGUUUUUAUGCAAUUAUAAAUUCG